GUGUUAAUAUAGUUAUGUUAAUAAUAAUAAUAAUAAUAAUAAUAAUAAUAAUGAUGAUGAUGAUGUUGCCCCCAACAUACACCUUGAUUGGGAUUUUUUAAAAUCAAAUAUUUUUCAACUUUAUCCUUCAAAUAAAUAUUAUUUUCUCCUAGCAAGCAUGGGACAGUGUUCACAGUUCACAUACAAAUUUUAAAUAUAAAUAAAUAUAUAUAUAUAUAUAUAUCACGUGAAAAAUAUUUUCUUUUAACAACAUCUGGACCAAUAAAAACCACACAAAUUUCCUUAUUGCUGUUUCGAGUAUAUCAUACUGAUGGGUGUUUACUUUACAAAGCAUUACCGUUUACGAAGCAUUGCCAUCAAUGCUUUUUUAUUUGUUCUUGGGUAGAUGGACAGGAGCUGGACAGAUACUUGGUUGUAUAGCUAAAUGCUGUCCUCCUUUUGUUUAUCUAAUUAGUGUUCUGAAACCCCAUUGUAAAUAAUGUAAGUGUAAAAUGGGGAAUAAUUUUUUUGGUGCUAUUUUUAAGUAUGUGUAAUGUUUAUGUGGUAGCUCUUAACAUCUGUGUAUCCUAUAUACUAGCAACUUGUGUGUGUUUUUAAAAAAUGAUUUUUUGCACUGCUGCUUAACCUUUUCUUCUGCUUCUUUUUAGUCUGAGCUUGUAUGUCACACCCUCCAUUUUGUCUGUUUCCCCACCCUCCAUUUUGUGGUAGGAUCAUGUGGAGUCACUUAUUAAGCUUUAAGUGGAAUGAACAGCUCCCAGAGGUGAGUGGGCUCACCAACAAGUCCUCUAGCCACCUCUAUUCUGCACUGUCUUUUAAAACAAGCAUCUGGUCAGUAUAUAAAGAUCUGUUCAGAAAUUUAAGGAUUCACAGUCACAAAGGUUUGUAUGCGUGUGUCCAAGUUUGGGGGGAAAAGUAUGAGGGGCCCAGUAACCCAAAUAAAAUGUUGAAUAUACAGGACUUUUGUGAUGUGAACUGCAUCUACAUCAUAUUCAUUACCUGGAAAGUCAGUUACUGACUGAUAAUUAUUCCUAUUUAACUGGCUGAAAUAAUUUGAACAACUUGUAUGAUCAACUGAUAAAUCCGUGAAGAGUCUUCUCUUGAUCCAGUGUUGGUCAUCAUGCUACUCACCAUCAGGUUCCAUCUUCCAUCCCACAUUCCAUCCUUUCUGUACUCACCGCCAUUCUCCGUCCUUGGCUCUGGAGCACCCUCAAGCAGCACAUCAUGGUUUGCAGGCUCCAUGGAUACUUCCAAACCAUUUUGUACUGUUAGUGGGGACCCUGGGAAUCCCACACAACUGACCCUUGGCGUGCAGCACCUUCGGCUGUCCUGGCCUGCUCUUCCUGCAGCAGGCUCACUGCUCUCCAGUAGGGCAUCUGAUGGAAUACUAACUCAUAUUGUUGGGCUAAAUGAAAAUUAGGACAGGGAGGUUGUUUCUUGGACAAGAUAAAUAGAAAAAAGCUGCCUUCAUUUUGUCCAGUUUCUUAUUUUUCUUAUUUUUACACAGUAGUAAGGAUUCAAACAAAUGUUUGAUUUGACUAAAUUAAAUAGACUAUUUACCAAUCAAAAUCAAAUAAUACUUUUAAAAAAUGUGAGUACUGAUUAUUACAAAUGUUCAGAGAAUUAAAAUGUGGUUACACCACUUCAGUAUUGGAGUGCUGUUUUAUUUGUAAUCAUUGCCUGACUACCUUGGGAGAAUAACUAAUGCCUAACUUUUAGAAAAUGAUCAAAUUCAAUUAACUUUGACCCUUGUCUGCCUCUGGGUUUAUGUGUUUUGGACAAAUGGAAAGCAAAACCCAUGGUUUGCCCAGAAGAGUACAACAUUAGUCUCAGGCUCUGUCUCCAUAGCAGCAACUUGUUCGACUGUGUGCCUGGCCGAAGCAGCACAUCAAUAUUGGUAGCUGCCCCCUUUCUGGGCUGCCAGUAUGGCUUGUGCUGCUCCAGUAAGGCCCACACAUUCAUUGCUGAAAGACAUGUCUGCCAAAGUAACAGAAUUGUUCAGUUAGUUUGUGCAAUACUAUGUAACAUUGUACCACAGAGGAACAUAUCAUCCUUCAUUAAUUUUCCGAUGCCAAUGUAUAUGUAGAAUAGAUUUGCAAAUGCUUUUACUGUUUUUAUUUGAUGAAGCAAUUAAAUUCCAUUAUACAUUUUC